rnacentral:lncRNA from 1 species
GCACAAUAACAGCUGGCACUGGGGUGCGGGAGGACGGUGAAAGCUCGAGUCCCAGGCUCCAAAUCCUCCAGGAGUAACUGGGGUGACCCGAGGAGAGCAGCGCACUGGAUAUCAGAUGUUUCACUGCAGAAAUGCUGAUGUGUUGGAUUACAGGAUUCCUGGCCACUCUCUCUGGUUGCCAGCCCAGCACCAAGCCUCCCAGACAUUGAUUCUCUGCUGCUCUGUGGCAUAGAAGACUACAGUGAUGGGCUCUGCAGACUUCGCCUUGGAGUCCCCCUUUCAUCCCUGCUCAUUAGUCUCCUCCUUGGUUGUUUGGAGGGGACUUUUUCCUAAUGCCAAGGGACAAGGCCACCUACAUCCCAAGCCAGCUGGAAAAGCAGCUUCCAGUCUUCAGAGAUGGGCCCCUCUUCUUCAGUUGGCCUUGGUAGUCAGGACAGAGGACAGAGGGGUAUAUUGUAACAUAUAUCGUAAAAUUUGAGCCACAUACACGGGAUAAAAGACAACGCAAAUAAUCAUCUCCGAAAAGAAAUCUGACAUCCGACGACUUAGAGGCCAGAGCCAUUGCUGACGCUCCUGGGGAUGAACAUUCUUUGCAAGCAUUUGUGCCUCAGUGAGGGUGGUGGGGAGCCAGCAAAGUGCUGGGCUCUGCAGAAAUCUAGGGGGCUGCCUGGGUGAUGUACAAAUGCAGACCUAUUACAUCAAUAGAAAAAUGUAAUGUGUUCAUUACUAUCAAGGCGGAGUGCUUUUUAAAUUCACCAUUUCUGAAAGACUCAGGAUUAAUGUCAAACUGUAUGAAAAGACCCAGCCUUUCACCUUUCUUUCUCUUGACCAUAGAAUGCGGGUCUAGUAGGGGGAGAGCAAAGGGGGCACUUUAGAAGAAUUGUGAAGCAAGCACAGACAGGGUCACAGAGAGCCCUGGUAUAGCAGAGGUCCACCCCCACCCUGGUGUCCUCAUACACAUUAUCGCACUAAGGAACUAGGCAGAACUCUAAGAAGGGCUGGUGAAAGAGAGAAGACCCGGGGACUCAGCACAUUGGCUGUGCUGACAUAUGUGAGCCUGAGUUGGAAGAUGGCAUGAAUUUAGACUGAAGCCAAGACCCCCUCCCUCAAAAACAGCAUUUAUAGAUGUUAGAGGGCAGAAAGGCAAAGUCAGAGGAAGCCUAAGGUUAAGUGAGUACGUACCCUGCACCGGGCACUAUCCAAGGUACUUUACAUGAAUUCUUAAAGAGCUUCUGAGAUAUAAAUAUUAUUAUAAAACCCAUUUGACUAAUGGAAACCUGAGGGUCAGAGAGGUUAAAUAAUGCACUAAAUGACAUACUUGAGGUCACCGAGAUAGAGAGUGGCAUAUUCAGAAUCAGAAACUAAAUCUGUAAUACCUCCCAGGCUCAUGUUCCUUUUAUGCCACAUGCCAUGUGUAGCCCCAAUGUCAAGGGCUAGGGGUGGGGAAAAAGAGCAGACAGAAGGCAGGAUGAGACUCCCUGGAGGUCUGAGGGAAGGAACAUCCUGGUGUAGGAAUAUUGUGCCUGCAAGGUUGCUGAGAUAUGUCUGUACACAGCCUGGUGAAUCUGGAAGUGUUGAAGAAAUGGCUUUUUUUUGUUGUUUUGUUCUGUUUUUUUAAACAGGAGCCAGAAACCAGAGGGAUCCCUAAGAGGACCAAGACAGCUGCAGAGCAAGUCCAGGUUACCCUGAAACUGAAGGUGUGAAGGUGCAAGCUCAGAGCCCAAACCCAAAGGCCACCAUACAGAUGGGGGACUGGUGGGCCACCAGCAUUCCUGGGGCUCAGUGUGAGUGCAGGCAGCAUGGACAGGGGGUGACAACAUACAGUGAGGGUGGGGGCAGGCCAUGUCCUGGCUUCAUGAGACAGGCUAAUGUUGUUUGCAUGCCCAGCUAUUUACAAUCAGGAGACUGAACUGUGACUCUGCAGAGGCUUAUACCAGCUAUAUACAGGAGCCCUUUUUCUUGUAUGCUUUGCCCACUGUAGACACUCACGACUGUAGGGAUCCCAGGUAGGAAGGUAAUGAGGGAGACUAGGCUCCAUCUAGCAACCAUAUGUGCAGAAAUGACAAAGAAAACAGGACCUAGAGUCUGGAGAGAGGGUAGGUGGGGUUCUUCUGACUUCUCAGAGUACAGAGUCACAUGGUUUCCCAGAAAGCAAGGUUCACAGGACACAUGCAUAUGGACAUGAACACAAGAAGAGUCUCGAUCAUAAGGCUGGGCCUCCAGGAACCUGAGGAAAGCUGCCCAGCCAUGCCUCAUGGAGAGUGAAUGUUUAAAAAUCAGAAGGUCAUUCAAGACUGAGGACAUCUCUGGAACCAGGUUUUAAGGCUGUCCUCUUAGCAGGUGGGUUUUGUCCACUCUUCAGCUCCACCGCUGACAUUGUCAGACUUUUUCCUGUAGGCACCAGAGUCACGGGGCCUAUGACAAUGUUUCAGAUCUUGAAAAUACAUUAUGAGUCCAAAAUAUGAAACAAGAACUAUAAAAAUCCCAUUGAUACACAUUUUAUUAGUAUACCCAAAGUUCAUUAAUUUAAUAUUUGUGCUGGGUGUGGUGGCUUUACACCUGUAAUCUCGGUGCUUUGGGAGGCCAAGGUUGGAGGACUGCUUGAAGCCAGGAGUUUGAGACCUGCCUGGGCGACACAGGGAGACCCCACAUCUCUACAAAAAAUAAAGAUAAAAAUUAGCUGGGCGCA